rnacentral:rRNA from 1 species
UGAGUGAUGAAGGCCUUAGGGUUGUAAAGCUCUUUCGCACGCGUCGAUGAUGACGGUAGCGUGAGAAGAAGCCCCGGCUAACUUCGUGCCAGCAGCCGCGGUAAUACGAAGGGGGCUAGCGUUGUUCGGAAUUACUGGGCGUAAAGGGCGCGUAGGCGGCCUGUUUAGUCAGAAGUGAAAGCCCCGGGCUCAACCUGGGAAUAGCUUUUGAUACUGGCAGGCUUGAGUUCCGGAGAGGAUGGUGGAAUUCCCAGUGUAGAGGUGAAAUUCGUAGAUAUUGGGAAGAACACCGGUGGCGAAGGCGGCCAUCUGGACGGACACUGACGCUGAGGCGCGAAAGCGUGGGGAGCAAACAGGAUUAGAUAACCUGGUUGUCCACACCGUAAAACA